UACGUAGGGUGCAAGCGUUAUCCGGAAUUAUUGGGCGUAAAGAGCUCGUAGGCGGUUUGUCGCGUCUGCUGUGAAAACCGGAGGCUCAACCUCCGGCCUGCAGUGGGUACGGGCAGACUAGAGUGCGGUAGGGGAGAUUGGAAUUCCUGGUGUAGCGGUGGAAUGCGCAGAUAUCAGGAGGAACACCGAUGGCGAAGGCAGAUCUCUGGGCCGUAACUGACGCUGAGGAGCGAAAGCAUGGGGAGCGAACAGG
rnacentral:rRNA from 1 species